GCCCGGGCACGAAGAGGAGGGAACCUCGCUUGUUUCUCCCAAUCAUCUCUAUUCCAGCGCUGAUUCCUGGGACACUUCAGGCAGGCAGCUAUACCUGGAAGGCUUCCAGAUCUGGGUUGGUGAGAAGCGACGCGGUGGGCAAAGCUCCUGCGUAAAAGUUGUAGGCACUGGGGACCGCGGAACCAACGGCGCAAGAUUAGGAUCAGCUGUAGCCGUGGAUUCGCUCGUGCCCGUUCUUUCCAACUCCAGGGCUUCUCGGUAUGAGGCGGGAAAGGGUCCCUGGUCCCCGGAGAGCCAGGGAGACUUGGGAGUGCAUACCUGGCGUGCCGAGCGCGCCUCUGCUCCCGCAGGACUCAGGGCGCUCCCGCGCUCCCAACAGCCUUUCGGGCAGGCUGGGGGUUGAACCGGGUUCAGGCAGUGGGCGCUACAGCUCCCGGGCGCAGCCCCCGUGUUCCCGCCCCUACUCCGUCCCAGCCCAGCACGCUCUACAUCCCCAAAACCACAGCCCCGAGGGCACCCACUGUCCCACGCCCCGUCGCCCCGCGUGCCCAACUCCUCAAAGCCAGAACUCGGAAGACGCUGUCCCUGGAGCCACGCUGCACUCUCCAAGACGCCCAACACGCACCGAGAUUCGACUGGCUGUGUCCCGCCUGACUACGGGCUCUCGGGACGAUCAAGGGAUCCAGCGCCUCACUCCCCGGGCGCGCCAGCAGCCGCGCCGCACCCGGCCCAGACGAGGUGGAGCUGGGCGGGGCCGCCCGGGGCCGCAGGAGGACCCUUUAGCCUGCACGUCCUCUCAUUGCUCCCCACAAGAAGUCUUCGGGAACCGCCAGGCACUUUCGAGAGGCAGCCCCGCGCAGGGCGAAGCCUGGAGACCCCACAGGGACGCUCCCGCUUUCUCGCGAACCGCUUCGGGGAGGGGGUGGCGCGGGAAGCGCUCUUACUUGGUUUCAGGGAUCCGCAGUGGCCCGGCUGGGACCGCGCUCUCCACGGUGGUCUCCCUCUGCUUCAGCCGCCACGGAGCCCCUUUCCCCAGCAGAGGAAGCGGCUGAGGUCUUCGAUGGCUGGAGAAAGCAAGCACCAACUGCAGAUGAAAAAGCCCAGGCCCAGAGAAGUGAUUUUCCCAGCGUCACAGAGCCGGUAAAUGACCUAGCCGGGAGAACCAAAAGGAGCUUGACUCCUCCAGCGAUUAUUAGUGGCCCACACUGGAGGCCUCAAUCUGUUACGCAUCCUGUUGGCUCUGCCUUCAAAGGAUCUCCAGAAUUCAGCCACUCCUCACCUUCUGGCUCAUCAUCCCCCAUUUGGAUGACUGCAGUAGCCCCAACUGAUUGUGUUGCUUCUACCUUGGCCUCAACAGUUGAUUUUCAAGACCACAGACAAGUAAUUCUUUUAAAAUACUAAUCAGAUCAUGUCCAAUUCUCUGAUCAGCUCCUUGCAGGUGGCCUGGGAACCCCUGAGCCUGCAGCUGAUGUCUGAAGAGGGGGCAGUCUUGAGAGAGACUGUGCCCUUCACCUGUGAAGUGUGGCCUGACUCUGGGAAGUUAGUGUCGGGACUGCAUCACAGGGAGACCUCUGUAGUCAUCAUUGUUUUCAGUUGCGAGUGGGCAUCAUAAAUUCACCAACAUGAGCUCCCUGAGUGCCAAAGGAACUCCUGAAGUGGGGAAGGCCCAGGGUGGACUGACUUAAGCAUGGAUCCAGGGACUCAGAUGAUGUGGCUAGACAGGGCUGCCUGGUGCACAGCCUCAGGGGCAUGAAUAUUUUAUCAAUUCUGCUUCCCUCUGGGUUGGUUUCAUUUCUCUUCCAGCAAAAAACUUCUUCAUGAGUCUAGGGAAGAUAGCUCUUGGAAGUUCCAACUUAACAUGAUCCCAGCCCAGCAAAUCCAACUGAAAGAGCACCUCUCUUUCCAGCAUCCCCAUCGAUCCCAGGGGCACCUAGAGCCGGCCCUGCUUGAGUAUCCCCGAGCCUGUCAUGAUGGCUAGGAAAUGCAAUUCUCUAAUUGGCCAGAAGAAGGGGAACGAGAAGCUGUGAAGGACAGACCAAAAGGGCCCCAUUUCCGGUGUGGCUGCAGGCACCUGAAGUGAUUCGUUUAGGCCAGACAUUCCUUGGUGACGCAGUGUCCUUCUUGCUGCCCCACACAUCCAUUUCCUCAUCAGUAGACCAAGGAGGUUGCACAGAUCGAAGGUCUCCUCCAGCCCAGUCAUACUAAGAGCCUGUGAAAUCCAGAACAAAGCCCAGGGCUGCGACUGUCUAUCAUGCUUUGUCCUGUUGUUGGGUUGAUUUUCUCUGUGGCUAUCUUGAAACCCCCAACAGACCAGCUGCUCUCCCAGGAUGCCUAUGGACAGAAUCUCACACCAUUAUUACCUCUGGAGAAGGAUCCAGGGACCAGUGAUAUCCGCUGCCCUUAGGAGUUCUGCUCUGUCUUGUGGCAUCAUGGGACCUCACCAGCUUGCCCAGGUAAAGUGGAAAUUGUUUCUUCUUGGAAAUCUACAAGAGGAUCAAAGAUAGUGCAACUGCAUAAGACUCCAUAUUUUGUUUCAUUUCAUUUCAUUUCUUUUUUUUUUUUUCUUUUUUGAGAUGGAGUCUCACUCUAUUGCCAGGCUGGAGUGCAG